AGGGGCGUAGCGCAGUCUGGUAGCGCAUCUGCUUUGGGAGCAGAGGGUCGGGGGUUCGAAUCCCUCCGCCCCGACCA
rnacentral:tRNA from 1 species